UAUCUGGAGGACUAGUGGUUAGGCCUUGGCACUCUCACCACCGUGACCCGGGUUCAAUUCACGGCCAGGGAA